rnacentral:rRNA from 1 species
UACGGAGGGGGCUAGCGUUGUUCGGAAUUACUGGGCGUAAAGGGCCAGUAGGCGGCCAACUAAGUCGGAUGUGAAAUCCCCAGGCUUAACCUGGGAACUGCAUCCGAUACUGGAUGGCUUGAAUUCGGGAGAGGGAUGCAGAAUUCCAGGUGUAGCGGUGAAAUGCGUAGAUAUCUGGAGGAAUACCGGUGGCGAAGGUGGCAUCCUGGACCGACAUUGACGCUGAACGGCGAAAGCUAGGGGAGCAAACGGG